AUUGAACGCUGGCGGCAGGCCUAACACAUGCAAGUCGAGCGGAUGAAGGGAGCUUGCUCCUGGAUUCAGCGGCGGACGGGUGAGUAAUGCCUAGGAAUCUGCCUGGUAGUGGGGGAUAACGUCCGGAAACGGGCGCUAAUACCGCAUACGUCCUGAGGGAGAAAGUGGGGGAUCUUCGGACCUCACGCUAUCAGAUGAGCCUAGGUCGGAUUAGCUAGUUGGUGGGGUAAAGGCCUACCAAGGCGACGAUCCGUAACUGGUCUGAGAGGAUGAUCAGUCACAGUGGAACUGAAACCCGGUCCAGCCCACGAGGGAGGGCAGCGGGGGGGAAUAUUGGACAAGGGGCGAAAGCUUGAUCCAGCCACGCCGGGUGUGUGAAGAGGGUCUUCGAAUUGUAAAACUUUUUAAGUUGGGAGGAAGGAAAGUAAGUUAAUCCCUUGUUUUUUUGACGUUCCCAACAAAAAAACCCCCGGCUAACUUCGUC
rnacentral:rRNA from 1 species